AUUAACGGAAUAAAACGAUUCGAGUCUGGUUUUAUUUAAAGGAGAAUUAUUUUACACUGAAAGGUUUCAUUUUUCGUUUGAAGAGGAUUUUCGUUUUUCAGUAUACACGCAUAAUGAAAAGCAAUAAUAUGUAUGUCGAAAAAGCUUUACCUCAUAUUCGCAAUCGCAACAAUACUUCUUGUUUAAAAAAAUAUAAAUUUAUUCAAAUUGUA